rnacentral:rRNA from 1 species
AUUGAACGCUGUCGGCAUGCUUUACACAUGCAAGUCGAACGAGUGGCGAACGGGUGAGUAAUAUAUCGGCACGUACCGAGUAAUGGGGGAUAACCAAUCGAAAGAUUGGCUAAUACCGCAUAUUAUUCGAGCGGCCGAUAACUGAUUAGCUAGUUGGGGGGGUAAAGGCCUACCAAGGCGACGAUCAGGAGCGGGUCUGCGAGGACGAUCCGCCGCACGGGGACGUAGACACGGACCUGACUCCUACGGGAGGUAGCAGUGGGGAAUUUUGGACAAUGGGGGCAACCCUGAUCCAGCCAUGCCGCGUGUAUGAAGAAGGCCUUCGGGUUGUAAAGUACUUUUGUUAGGGAAGCGGUACCUAAAGAAUAAGCACCGGCUAACUACGUGCCAGCCGCCGCGGUAAUUC